CCCUUAGAUGCUCUGGGCCGCACGCGCGCUACACUGGUCGAUGCAACGAGUUUCUUUCCUUGGCCGACAGGCCUGGGCAAUCUUUGAACAUCGAUCGCGAUCGGGAUAGAUUCUUGUAAUUUUUGAUCUUAAACGAGGAAUUCCUAGUAAACGCAAGUCAUCAGCUUGCAUUGAUUACGUCCCUGCCCUUUGUACACACCGCCCGUCGCACCUACCGAUUGAAUGGUCCGGUGAAAUCUCCGGACUGGCGUGAGUCGGAGCAAUCUGACAAACACCGGAAAGUUGAUUAAACCUUACCAUUUAGAGGAAGGUGAANUCGUAACA
rnacentral:rRNA from 1 species